rnacentral:lncRNA from 1 species
ACGUUUUUAGUCUCACAAUGGAUUUUGAGGAGCCCCUUUUCUUAUAGUGCUGUGAUAAUACAAACAUACAGCCUCCUUAAUAUCUACACAUAUUAUUUGAAAGACUGAAGACGGAGCGUUCUGCAUGAAAGGUGUACUUUAUUAUUGUCAGUGACAUGGCACACAACCAUUGGUUGAUGCAAUGUGGCGUGUCAAUUGUAGGCGGCCUCGUACAAAUUCAGUGGGCUGGGCUGCAGAGGAAGUCAGCAUUUCUUCCGAAUCUCUCUCCCCAAGUUCUCAAUGGGAGCAGAGACUAUCGCACAGUGCCAUAGAGAGACACCGAUGAAGUGUCAGUCAUGCUGGUGGCUGGCAGAGACGGCAGAGCAGAGCGUGACAUGCCAGUGUUUUUUCCUGAGGGGAUGUGUGUUUUCUUGGUCUUGGAUCCAAAGCAGGGCGGUGUAACUGGGUGAUUCAACAUCACUGUUAUAGUGAUAGGAAGAGACACGGAGGAUUUUGCAACAAGUGCAAGUUCGGAGGCUCAUCAUUUGAAGACGGAAAAGUGGUGCUGGUGAACCCUUGUACACAUAACCAGGCCUCUAUCCCAUAUAGAGGCAGGAGGACAGUCUCACCAGUAAGGAGGACCAGCCAUGUCUGGUACUAUAAGCAAUGUUCCUAAUAACAGUACUUUGUACCACUCAGACAAGAGCCUCACUGACACAGACCUGUGCAUAUGGAGCGUGGCUAUGGUCCUAAUAAUGGUUGUGCUGUCACUUGUCUGCUGCUUGUGUUACAUAUAUGUACUAUGUGCAAGGAAGACAAGAUACACCAUACUGCCUUUGAUUUCGGUGUGAUUCUAUUAUGUGCAUGUGAUGUUACUCAGUUGACCUGCUAAUAAACAG